rnacentral:rRNA from 1 species
AACGAACGCUGGCGGCAGGCUUAACACAUGCAAGUCGAACGCCCCGCAAGGGGAGUGGCAGACGGGUGAGUAACGCGUGGGAAUCUACCCAUCCCUACGGAACAACUCCGGGAAACUGGAGCUAAUACCGUAUACGCCCUUAGGGGGGAAAGAUUUAUCGGGGAUGGAUGAGCCCGCGUUGGAUUAGCUAGUUGGUGGGGUAAAGGCCUACCAAGGCGACGAUCCAUAGCUGGUCUGAGAGGUUGAUCAGCCACAUUGGGACUGAGACACGGCCCAAACUCCUACGGGAGGCAGCAGUGGGGAAUAUUGGACAAUGGGCGCAAGCCUGAUCCAGCCAUGCCGCGUGAGUGAUGAAGGCCUUAGGGUUGUAAAGCUCUUUCACCGAUGAAGACAAUGACGGUAGUCGGAGAAGAAGCCCCGGCUAACUUCGUGCCAGCAGCCGCAGUAAAAC